rnacentral:rRNA from 1 species
GACGAACGCUGGCGGCGUGCCUAAUACAUGCAAGUCGAACGAGAGCGACCGGUGCUUGCACUGGUCAAUCUAGUGGCGAACGGGUGAGUGACACGUGGGUAACCUGCCCAUCAGAGGGGGAUAACAUCCGGAAACGGAUGCUAAAACCGCAUAGGUCUUCGAACCGCAUGGUUUGAAGAGGAAAAGAGGCGCAAGCUUCUGCUGAUGGAUGGACCCGCGGUGCAUUAGCUAGUUGGUGAGGUAACGGCUCACCAAGGCCGUGAUGCAUAGCCGACCUGAGAGUGUGAUCGGCCACAUUGGGACUGAGACACGGCCCAAACUCCUACGGGAGGCAGCAGUAGGGAAUCUUCCGCAAUGGACGCAAGUCUGACGGAGCAACGCCGCGUGAGUGAAGAAGGUUUUCGGAUCGUAAAACUCUGUUGUUAGAGAAGAACAAGUGCUAGAGUAACUGUUAGCGCCUUGACGGUAUCUAACCAGAAAGCCACGGCUAACUACGUG